GUUGAGGUUAGAUCCCUGAACACAUGUACUCUCCUCUCUUCUCAAGUCACGUGCUCUUCCUCUCCACACCGAUCGACACCUCUGUUUACUCUCUCUCUCUUUCUCUCUCUUACUCGCUGCCCGUUCAGAGCUCCGGCGAGCAAUCGAAGCCCUAACGCCGGUGACCGCUCACCUCCGUCACGCUGCGCCGGCGAACGAACGAAGGUUUUCCACACUCCGGCAAGCAAUCGAAUCCCUAAACGCCGGCGAACAAACGAACGAAGCUUUUAUUCUGGGAGUCCAAACCGGCCUCGAAAGCUUUACCGGCGAGGUAUGAGUCAUGGACCAAAUACCCGAAAUAAAAAUAAAAGGCAUCGAGCGGAUGACAAUGUGCAGCCAACCUCGGAAAUUUUCCGGAAAAUCCACUCAACGGGUCAAGUGACUGAAGAUGAUGUAAACGAGCUAUAUAUGGUUUGCAAGCCUGUAUGCCAAGGUUGUCGAGUGAAUAGAAAAGAUAAUCCUAAUUGCUUUUGUGGACUUGCUCCACCUCCCAAUGGAAGUCGGAAAUCUGGCUUGUGGCAGAGCACGUCUGAGAUUCUUCUUUCAUUUGGUGAUGACCCAUCCAAGGAUCUUCGCGAUUCCACUGACUCACCAGCCGGGCUCACGAAUUUGGGUGCGACAUGCUAUGCCAACAGCAUACUUCAGUGUCUGUACAUGAAUAAGCCAUUCAGGGAGGGUGUUUUUUCAGUGGAACCGGAUGUUCUGAAAGAACAACCUGUUUUGCUUCAACUUGCUCGACUCUUUGCACAGUUGCAUGCUAGUAAAAAGGCUUUUGUUGAUUCAGCUCCGUUUAUCGUAACCCUGGAGCUGGAUAAUGGUGUUCAGCAGGACAGUCACGAGUUCCUUACCUUGCUUUUUUCUUUGCUUGAGCGAUGCUUGAGCUGCUCAAAAGGUCCGAAGGCAAGAACAAUUGUGCAAGAUCUUUUCCGUGGAAGAGUGUCUCAUGUAACCACAUGCUCGCAAUGUGGAAAAGAUUCUGAAGCUUCAUCAACAAUGGAAGACUUCUAUGGGCUGGAGUUGAAUGUUAAGGGUUUGAAAAAUCUGGAUGAGAGUUUGGAUGAUUACCUGAGCGUGGAAAAGCUUCAAGGAGACAAUCAAUACUAUUGUCAGUCGUGUGCAGCUCGAGUUGAUGCUACCCGUAGCAUUAAGCUGCGGUCACUACCUGCUGUCCUUAAUUUUCAACUCAAGCGUUGUGUUUUCCUUCCAAAGACAACAACGAAGAAGAAAAUCACUUCUCCAUUCUGUUUUCCUGGAGAACUGGAUAUGGGAGACAGGUUGUCUGAGCAUUCUCAAUCAGAAUUAAGAUAUGACUUGUCUGCGGUCUUGAUUCACCAGGGUUCUGCUGUAAAUAGUGGGCAUUAUGUAGCGCAUAUUAAGGAUGAGAAUACAGGGCAGUGGUGGAAAUUUGAUGACGAACAGGUUUCAAACUUAGGGCGACACCCUUUUGCUGAUGGUUUAUCCGAUUCUGCAGCUAAAUCUGUUCAAACUGAGCCGUUUAUCAAUCCAUCAUGCUCUGAGCUUAUGAAUGCUGUUGCAAUUGGAAGUCAACCAAAUUCUUCAGAAUCUGAUGUUCUUAAUCCUGUACAGAACUUUUCAUCAAGAGAUGCCUACAUGUUGAUGUAUAUCCGAAGGUAUUCAAAGAAUGGUGGUGAAAAUGCAGAAAUGGAGUCUGGUGGGUUCAAAAUGGAAAAUGAUAGCUGUGUGGCUCCACAAAAUGAUGUUUGUCUUCCUUCGGACCUUGGUAAAGAGAUAGAACAAUCAAAUUUAUCGUAUCUUGAUGCUUGCAAACAAUACAAAUCGAAACAGGAAUUUGAGCUAAAGCGUGUCAGAGAGCGACGGGAGGAGGUUCGAUUGGUUCUUUCUCAAGCCCCAGUGCAGUCACCCGGGGAACCAUAUUUCUGGAUUUCAACUGAAUGGCUUCGAAAUUGGGCUGACAAUAUCAAUCUCUCGGUCAUUGACAAUAACCCUAUUCAGUGUUUGCAUGGUAAAGUCCCAGUUUCAAAGAUUGGCGGUAUGAAGCGAUUGUCAUCCACUGCUUGGACAAUGUUGUUCUCUAAGUAUGAAGGGGGCCCAAAAUUGGCCAAGGAUGAUUACUGUGUUUAUUGUCUUCUCGAAGUGGCACGCAACAUGGUCAGUGCUGAUAGCUAUAGGGAUAGAAGAACAUCAAUGAAAGAACUUGCAGAGGCAGCACUUGCCGGGAAGUGUCUAGAUGGACCGUUGUACUGUGUCUCGAGAACUUGGUUGCAACAAUGGAUACGAAGAAAAAGCAUGGAGUCUCCAUGCGAAGCUGAUACAGGACCAACAGCUUUAAUUACGUGUCCUCAUGGGGAACUUAUGCCUGAGCAAGCUACUGGUGCUAAGCGGGUGCUUGUUCCUGAAAAUCUAUGGCUUUUUUUCUAUGACACUGCCAGUAAAGUAAAGCCUGAUGAUCCCUUGGGUGGUUCAACUUUUCCUUCAGACUCUGCACCAUGUGCCCAAUGCUGUGUGGAACUCUCAGAAGUGGCGUGUGAGAAGGACUCUCAGAGGGAGUUCAAGGUGAAUCAACGCCAGAGCCAUGAGAGAUUAGCUUUAGGGAAAAGUAUUGCACUUUCUCCCCUUCAACGAUAUUACUUGUUGCCCUCUUCAUGGCUCUCUAAAUGGAAAAGCUACAUCACUGCAAGUGGCAAAAGUGCUGAUUCUACUGCAGAACCUGAAACUUUGAGAAAUGUAAUUGAUUUACUGAAAUGUGCGAAGCACUCAAGACUUCUUGAAAGACCUCCCGAUCUGAUCUGCAAACGUAGUUUGGUUUCUCAAAAGUCGCCAAUUACAGAUGGAUUGACAAUCGUUACAGAGAAUGACUGGAAAUUGUUCUGUGAAGACUGGGGCGGAACAGAAGAGGAAGGAAUAUCUGUUGAAAUUGAUGUCAGUAAUUGCAGUGGAGAUGAUUCAAGCAGGGUUUCAGCUGAGAUCCCCAUUUCUGGGGAGCAUAUGACUGAUCAUGAUAGAGAAAAUAGCGAGGCGGAGUCUAAAAAGCUUAGAGUGAAGACUUGUCCCGAGGUAUGUGAAGAUUGCCUUGGUGAAAGAGAAAGUCGGGAGUUAAUGCGAAGACACAACUAUUGCAACGAGGAUAUUUACGUAUGCUUUGUUCGUGGCAAGGAACCUCCAAGAUCCAUUCUGGAAGGAUCCGGGAAAACAUUUGAGCCCAACCGCCGAACCUCGAAGCGCUCUAGGAAGACUACAUCUGGGAACUCCAUAACUUUGAAUGUUUCUGGAUCAACGUCACUCUACCAAUUGAAAAUGAUGAUAUGGGAAUCGUUUGGGGUGGUUAAGGAAAACCAAAUACUUCAUAAGGGUUCCAGGACAAUUGAUGGGGAAUCUGCUACUUUGGCUGACAUGGAUAUAUUCCCUGGAGAUACUGUGUGGGUUACGGAUUCAGAGAUCCAUGAGAAUCGUGAUAUUGCGGAUGAACUUUCUGACCAAAAGAUGGGGGUCCAACAGGCAGAGGAAGGGUUUCGUGGAACACUUUUGACUUCAAAUAUCUCAUCCCAGGUUGUAUAGGGUGCAUGAUACCGCUAAUAGGAGUCUUCCAUAAUGGUUCACGCUUCUAUGAUAUUUCUGUUGGGAGACUGCUACUUCAAGACUAGUUCGCCUAAAAAUUGCCCUGGCAGUGAUGCUCUAGCAAUUUCUUGCCGACUGGAGAGUUAACUGCGUUAAAGUGAUCUGUCAUUGAAGGCAACAUGAUUUUUAUUGAUCCGGAAAUAUUAGUCUCUUGUGUAUCACUCUCUCUCUCUCUCUGCCCAUGGUUUUGGAAUUUAUAAAACAUAUUGGCAUUUUAGCUCCUCCAAUAUGCUGUGUAAGAACCAAAACUUAGGUGCAACAUCCGACAACAUCUUGGACAGCCAACCUGUGUAUUAUGUAUCAAGCUCGUGUCUUCAAAUGCGCAAGUUGUGUGUCUAGAAA